UCCAGUUUUGGUAUGGUCUCCUGUCUGUC
rnacentral:piRNA from 1 species